UUUUAUAUCCGCAUUGUUCAGCGAAAAUAUGAUUAAUUACAUAUCACUAAAUAAAGGUUAAUAUACGUACGCUCGUUUAAACCACAAUUUUUAAUUGCGAAAUUACAUCGACACGUGGAUAUAUGAGGCCGGUAAGAGCCAUUGUUGCAAACUACUUGGGAAUAACACUCAAACGUUCAUCAUGAAAUAUAUUUGGAUAUUUUGUUUUACAAUCUCUUUGCUUAUGCUUUCAAAUGAUGUUGUCAAUGCGGGAAGUCUGAGAGGAAGAUUUCCGGGUAGCUCGUGCAGAUGGGUUCGAUGUCCGGACUGCAUACCGGGGAAUGGUCCUACUCAUGUCCCCGACUGCUGUCCUUCAUGCACUAUCCCCGUUCGUGACCCCGUCGAUCUGGCAUUCCCGGCGACCUUUUCGUAAACAAGAUGCUGAAAAAAAUCAUAACCGAUUAAAUUAAAACUGUGAA